rnacentral:rRNA from 1 species
CAGCAGCCGCGGUAAUACGAAGGGCGCAAGCGUUAAUCGGAAUUACUGGGCGUAAAGCGUGCGUAGGCGGUGAGUUAAGUCUGCUGUGAAAUCCCCGGGCUCAACCUGGGAAUGGCAGUGGAUACUGGCUCGCUAGAGUGUGUCAGAGGAUGGUGGAAUUCCCGGUGUAGCGGUGAAAUGCGUAGAGAUCGGGAGGAACAUCAGUGGCGAAGGCGGCCAUCUGGGACAACACUGACGCUGAGGCACGAAAGCGUGGGGAGCAAACAGGAUUAGAUACCCCAGUAGUCCCUGUCUCUUAUAA